CGUUUGACCUCGGAUCAGGUAGGGAUACCCGCUGAACUUAAGCAUAUCAAUAAGCGGAGGAAAAGAAACCAACAGGGAUUGCCCUAGUAACGGCGAGUGAAGCGGCAACAGCUCAAAUUUGAAAUCUGGCUCUUUUAGAGUCCGAGUUGUAAUUUGCAGAGGGCGCUUUGGCUUUGGCAGCGGUCCAAGUUCCUUGGAACAGGACGUCACAGAGGGUGAGAAUCCCGUACGUGGUCGCUAGCUAUUGCCGUGUAAAGCCCCUUCGACGAGUCGAGUUGUUUGGGAAUGCAGCUCUAAAUGGGAGGUAAAUUUCUUCUAAAGCUAAAUAUUGGCCAGAGACCGAUAGCGCACAAGUAGAGUGAUCGAAAGAUGAAAAGCACUUUGGAAAGAGAGUCAAACAGCACGUGAAAUUGUUGAAAGGGAAGCGCUUGCAGCCAGACUUGCUUGCAGUUGCUCAUCCGGGCUUUUGCCCGGUGCACUCUUCUGCAGGCAGGCCAGCAUCAGUUUGGGCGGUGGGAUAAAGGUCUCUGACACGUUCCUUCCUUCGGGUUGGCCAUAUAGGGGAGACGUCAUACCACCAGCCUGGACUGAGGUCCGCGCAUCUGCUAGGAUGCUGGCGUAAUGGCUGUAAGCGGCCCGUCUUGAAACACGGACCAAGGAGUCUAACAUCUAUGCGAGUGUUUGGGUGUCAAGCCCGAGCGCGUAAUGAAAGUGAACGGAGGUGGGAACCCGCAAGGGUGCACCAUCGACCGAUCCUGAAGUUUACGGAAGGAUUUGAGUAAGAGCAUGGCUGUUGGGACCCGAAGAUGGUGAACUAUGCUUGAAUAGGGUGAAGCCAGAGGAAACUCUGGUGGAGGCUCGCAGCGGUUCUGACGUGCAAAUCGAAUCGUCAAAUUUGGGCCAUAGGGGGCGAAAAGACUAAUCGAACUAUCUAGUAGCUG
rnacentral:rRNA from 1 species